CAGCAGCCGCGGUAAUACGAAGGGUGCAAGCGUUACUCGGAAUUACUGGGCGUAAAGCGCACGUAGGCGGACUUUUAAGUCAGGAGUGAAAUCCCGGGGCUCAACCCCGGAACUGCCUUUGAUACUGGGAGUCUUGAGUUCGAGAGAGGUGAGUGGAAUUGCGAGUGUAGAGGUGAAAUUCGUAGAUAUUCGCAGGAACACCAGUGGCGAAGGCGGCUCACUGGCUCGAUACUGACGCUGAGGUGCGAAAGCGUGGGGAGCAAACAGGAUUAGAGACCCCCGUAGUCCCUGUCUCUUAUAC
rnacentral:rRNA from 1 species